rnacentral:tRNA from 1 species
AAAAUAAAUAAAAUAAAGCUUCUAACUUUAUGUUAAGAUUGACAUCUUUUAUUUUU